GUCGAGAAUCUUUCACAAUGGGGGCAACCCUGAUGGGGCGACGCCGCGUGGAGGAUAAGGUCUUCGGAUUGUAAACUCCUGUCAUGCGUGAACAAGGUUGCUUGGUUAAUACCUGGGCAAAUUGAUGGUAACGCAAGAGGAAGAGACGGCUAACUCUGUGCCAGCAGCCGCGGUAAUACAGAGGUCUCAAGCGUUGUUCGGAAUCACUGGGCGUAAAGGGUGCGUAGGUGGCGUGGUAAGUCAGAUGUGAAAGCCCGGGGCUCAACCUCGGAACUGCAUCCGAUACUGCCAUGCUAGAGUACUGGAGAGGUGACUAGAAUUCUCGGUGUAGCAGUGAAAUGCGUAGAUAUCGAGAGGAAUACCAAAGGCGUAGGCAGGUCACUGGACAGUUACUGACACUGAGGCACGAAGGCCAGGGGAGCGAACGGGAUUAGAUACCCUUGUAGUCC
rnacentral:rRNA from 1 species